rnacentral:rRNA from 1 species
AAGUGGAUUAGUGGCGCACGGGUGAGUAAUGCAUAGGUUAUGUGCCCUUUAGUCUGGGAUAGCCACUGGAAACGGUGAUUAAUACUGGAUACUCCCUACGGGGGAAAGUUUUUCGCUAAAGGAUCAGCCUAUGUCCUAUCAGCUUGUUGGUGAGGUAAUGGCUCACCAAGGCUAUGACGGGUAUCCGGCCUGAGAGGGUGAUCGGACACACUGGAACUGAGACACGGUCCAGACUCCUACGGGAGGCAGCAGUAGGGAAUAUUGCUCAAUGGGGGAAACCCUGAAGCAGCAACGCCGCGUGGAGGAUGAAGGUUUUAGGAUUGUAAACUCCUUUUGUAAGAGAAGAUU